rnacentral:rRNA from 1 species
CGUAGGGCGCAAGCGUUGUCCGGAUUUAUUGGGCGUAAAGAGCUCGUAGGCGGCUUGUCGCGUCUGCCGUGUAAGCUCUCGGCUUAACUGGGAGCUUGCGGUGGAUACGGGUGGGCUGGAGGCAGGUAGGGGAGAAUGGAAUUCCCGGUGUAGCGGUGAAAUGCGCAGAUAUCGGGAGGAACACCGGUGGCGAAGGCGGUUCUCUGGGCCUUGCCUGACGCUGAGGAGCGAAAGCGUGGGGAGCGAACAGGAUUAGAUACCCUGGUAGUCCAUGCUGUAAACGUUGGGCGCUAGGUGUGGGGUCUUUCCACGGAUUCCGUGCCGUAGCUAACGCAUUAAGCGCCCCGCCUGGGGAGUACGGCCGCAAGGCUA